AACAAACGCUGGCGGCGUGCCUAAUACAUGCAAGUCGAACGGGGAAAGCUUUCGGGUGAGUACUAGUGGCGCACGGGUGAGUAACGCGUGGAUAAUCUGCCUUAGAGUGGGGGAUAACUAGUCGAAAGAUUAGCUAAUACCGCAUAAGACCACAAGAACUGCGGUUCAAGGGGUCAAAGGUUUUCGCUCUAAGAUGAGUCCGCGUAAGAUUAGCUAGUUGGUAGGGUAACGGCCUACCAAGGCGACGAUCUUUAACUGGUCGGAGAGGAUGAUCAGUCACACUGGAACUGAGACACGGUCCAGACUCCUACGGGAGGCAGCAGUAGGGAAUAUUGCACAAUGGAGGAAGCUCUGAUGCAGCGACGCCGCGUGAGUGAUGAAGGCCUUCGGGUCGUAAAGCUCUGUCGCAGGGGAAUAACACAAUGAAGGUACCCUGUAAGAAAGGAUCGGCUAACUUCGUCCCAGCCGCCGCGGUAAUAC
rnacentral:rRNA from 1 species